ensembl:snRNA U6 U6 spliceosomal RNA
GUGCUCGCUUCAGCAGCACAUAUACUAAAAUUGGAACAACAGAGAAGAUUAGCAUGACCCCUGCAUAAGGAUGACAUGCAAAUUUGUGAAACGUUCCACGUUUUU